rnacentral:rRNA from 1 species
CAGCAGCCGCGGGAAUACAGAGGGUGCAAGCGUUAAUCGGAAUUACUGGGCGUAAAGCGCGCGUAGGUGGUUUGUUAAGUUGGAUGUGAAAUCCCCGGGCUCAACCUGGGAACUGCAUCCAAAACUGGCAGGCUAGAGUAGGGCAGAGGGUGGUGGAAUUUCCUGUGUAGCGGUGAAAUGCGUAGAUAUAGGAAGGAACACCAGUGGCGAAGGCGACCACCUGGGCUCAUACUGACACUGAGGUGCGAAAGCGUGGGGAGCAAACAGGAUUAGAUACCCCCGUAGUCCCUGUCUCUUAUAA